CUCUUAUCCAGAGCAGGCGGAGGGACUGGCCCUAUGAAGCCCGGCAACCGUCUGGAGCGGUGCUAACCAGCAGGACGGAAAUCUGUUCUGGCCGAUAAGAG
rfam:Brevibacillus sp. CF112 PMI08_contig_140.140, whole genome shotgun sequence.